rfam:Syntrophomonas wolfei subsp. wolfei str. Goettingen, complete genome.
AUGUUUUUGUAACCGCACAGUUCGGGUUUUUAAAAGGCUCUAUAGCCUACCUGCAAUUGGCGAGUCUGAGGAAUAUG